rnacentral:rRNA from 1 species
AACGAACGCUGGCGGCAUGCCUAACACAUGCAAGUCGAACGAGACCUUCGGGUCUAGUGGCGCACGGGUGCGUAACGCGUGGGAACCUGCCCUUAGGUUCGGAAUAACUCCCCGAAAGGGGUGCUAAUACCGGAUAAUGUCUUCGGACCAAAGAUUUAUCGCCUUUGGAUGGGCCCGCGUUGGAUUAGCUAGUUUGUAGAGUAAAAGCCUACCAAGGCGACGAUACAUACCUGGUCUGAGAGGAUGAUCAGCCACACUGGGACUGAGACACGGCCAAGAUCACUACGGGAGGCAGCAGUAGAUAAUAUUAGACCAUGGGCGAAACGCUGCUCCAGCUAUGCCGCGUGAGUGAUGAAGGGCUUAGGAUUGUAAAGCUCUUUUAGCCGGGAAGUUAAUGACAGUACCGGAAGAAUCAGCUCCGGCUAACUACGUG